GGAAUAUAAAAAUCGUCUCUUAACUUUUAACUAAAAAAAAAAGAACCGGUUCUUAAAUAAGAGCUGAUUCUUAACUUUUUUAGUUAAAAAUUAAGAGACGGAUUCUUAUAUUUC
rnacentral:pre_miRNA from 1 species